UACGUAGGGUGCGAGCGUUAAUCGGAAUUACUGGGCGUAAAGCGUGCGCGGGCGGUUCGUUAUGUCCGAUGUGAAAGCCCCGAGCUCAACUUGGGAAUGGCAUUGGAAACUGGCGGGCUGGAGUGUGGCAGAGGGGGGUGGAAUUCCACGUGUAGCAGUGAAAUGCGUAGAGAUCCGGAGGAACACCAAAGGCGAAGGCAGUGUCCUGGGGAGUACCUGACGCUCAGGUGCGAAAGCCAGGGGAGCGAACGGG
rnacentral:rRNA from 1 species